ensembl:lncRNA
GGAAAAGAGAGCUCUGUCGGUUUUUCAACAAAACACCGGCAACAAAACCAUGAAUCUUGUCAAUGCAUUUUGGUUUUCAAUUUAGUGGACUUUUUUUUUUUGAAUAUUCAACAGCUCUUUUCCAACUGUUUAUUUUGUUUCUGUGAAAGAAAAUCAAUCCCUGAUUUUGAAGAGUAAAACAACAAAGAUGCGAGUGUCGUCCGAGUUCUGACUGCAUGUAUGGACCAUUGACGUAUUAAUGUAUUGACGUCUAUGGGACAAAUCAUGUGCCCGUCUCACCACCCAUAUAGCAAUAGUCAGCCACAAUAUGCCUCUUUCUCACUGGCCCCAAAUCUUUAUUCCAAAAUCCCAUCGGUGUUUCCAGAAAGCAGUGUUUGUUCUGUUUACUUCCUGGUUGCCAGAUUCUGCUCUUUGCUCUAAAGUACUCCCCCCCUCUCUGUUCCACUGGUGGUGCUGUUUUUAAUCGGUUUUAAAUGUGCUGGAGGAUGUGUUUCAGGGCGUUUUAAUCAGUGAUUGACCCCGCUGAUCUGGUCCGUGCUGCUGGGAGGACAGCAUGGCGUCGUUCCUACAGUCUGGCUCUGGGGCUGGACAAACGGCAUGUUUCAAAAUAUCUCUUCUUUAUUUUUCCAGGCUAAUGGUUUGAAAGCUGAACGUCCCUUUUUUUUUUUUUUUAUAAGGUCCAAAUGAAACUUUAAUUUGAUUUUUUAUAAACUGCACUUUUCACUUUUUCCUCUGGGUCCCUUGAGAAACAACACUGAUGCCACUGGCGAGAUGGACAUCAUGUUAGAAGGGGCCAUGCCACGGGGGACAGCUGGCUGUGUGACUGUUCUAUGUCAUUGUAUGUCUUCGUUGGGGUCUUUUCUCCUCUCCCUGCAGGACACCCUUUGCUCCUAAAGCCUCAUCAUCAUUUAGCCUCAUUAGCCUGUCGCUGGGGUGAUAUGGUUACAGGAAGAGCCUCGUAAAAGAACCCCCCCCCCCCAGACCUCCAUUUCCUCCCACGUCCCUAAUGCAAACGUGAUGACCAUACUCACCACUCAGUCAGAGCAGAGGGCAGUGUAACACUUGAAAUGUCCCCCUCGAAGAAUAUUCCGCAGCCACUGCUCCUACUUGUGCGAGUGGAAUACUGUUUGUCAAUGUGUUGUAAUUAGCCCAUGAACUGGAUCUGCGCUGUAGGAUUCUC